rfam:Felis catus isolate Cinnamon breed Abyssinian chromosome D3, whole genome shotgun sequence.
ACCUGGGUGGCUCAGUUGGUUAAGCAUCUGAUUUCAGCUCAGGUCAUGAUCUCACAGUUCGUGGGUUCGAGCCCCAUAUCGGGCU